AGGGCAGGGAGUGGGAAAGUGAAAAGCUACUAAAAUCCAGUCCUGGCCUCUCUUCCCUCCAGCGUAAAAGCCUCCCUGGGGUGCUUGGGCAAUACAACAGGCUCCGACUAGACCAUCCAUUGUCCCACAGCCCUUUUGAUCUUUUCCCCCCUCAGAGGCCAAGGCACCGUGAGCUACCUUGCAAUUAUUUCCCAAGUACUUUAACUGUGUUCCUUGGAUCCUCUCUAAAACACAAGAUCCCUAAAGGCAGCGACACACUUCACACCCCCAAGGAGCACAGGCGAUGUCGGGGUGAUUCCAGGCUGCUCUGUACUUUCUUGCUGAAUGAGUGGACGGGCUAGAGAAGAAACGGCAGAAGAGAAAGACAACCAGGUGCCCUGUCACUGCCUAUCACUGCCUGCCCUGCAGACUUCCAGCCCUUAGGAAGCUCACUCCUGAAACAAGUCCCUACAAGGUCAGUGAUUCACGCAGAUGCCCCUGAAAUCACUUCCUGGGCUCCACUGUCAUCAGACACAACAGGAGGUUGCUCACGGAGAAGUGUGAAAAGUGCCUGGAGACCUUGCUACUUGUUUCUCUGCAGAGGAGGACUCCAGACACUUAUUCUCCUAGCAUCCCACAGAUGCUGCUUGUCAGAGAUGAAGGCAGGACACAGGCAUUUGGUUGCAGCUCUUAAGGUUGUGCUCCCUUGCACCCGUGACUCUCUUUUCCCAAACCUGACACCUACUCACGGCCCAGAUGGAAAGAUGAGGCUCUGAGAUAAGUAAUGUAGCUCUCAAUCUAGGUGUUCCUCCCUCACAGCCAAAAAGAGAGAAUUUAGUCCAUCUCAAGUCUAUCCUAGCUCUCUGCUUUUGAGUGCAAGUUGCCUGCCUGUUACCUUCUUUUCCACUAUAAACUCAGUCUUGUGAGAUAAGGGAAGGGACCUCACCUCUCCUGGCUGGGAACUUGCUGUUCCCAUCUUACCAGAAG
ensembl:lncRNA